GUGCCAGCCGCCGCGGUAACACCGGCAGCUCGAGUGAUGGCCGAUUUUAUUGGGCCUAAAGCGUCCGUAGCCUGCCGUACGGGUCCGUCGGGAAAUCCGCCCGCUUAACGGGCGGACGUCCGGCGGAAACCAUACGGCUUGGGACCAGAGGACCCGAGGGGUACGUCGGGGGUAGGAGUGAAAUCCCGAGAUCCUCGACGGACCGCCGGUGGCGAAAGCACUUCGAGAAAACGGAUCCGACAGUGAGGGACGAAAGCCAGGGUCUCCAACCGGAUUAGAUACCCCAGUAGUCC
rnacentral:rRNA from 1 species